GUGCUCACUUUGGAACCACAAAUACUAAAAGUGGAAUUAUACAGAGAUUAGCACGACCCCUGUGCAAGGAUGGCAUGCAAAUUUGUGAAGCAUUCCAAUUUUUU
rnacentral:snRNA from 1 species